rnacentral:rRNA from 1 species
CAGAUAGUUGGUGAGGUAACGGCUCACCAAGCCUGCGAUCAGUAACUGGUGUGAGAGCACGACCAGUCACACGGGCACUGAGACACGGGCCCGACUCCUACGGGAGGCAGCAGUAAGGAAUAUUGGUCAAUGGACGCAAGUCUGAACCAGCCAUGCCGCGUGGAGGAUUAAGGCCCUCUGGGUUGUAAACUCCUUUUAUCUGGGAAGAAAUGCCAUUUUUCUAAAUGGUUUGACGGUACCAGAGGAAUAAGCACCGGCUAACUCCGUGCCAGCAGCCGCGGUAAUACGGAGGGUGCAAGCGUUAUCCGGAUUCACUGGGUUUAAAGGGUGCGUAGGCGGGCAGGUAAGUCCGUGGUGAAAUCUCUGAGCUUAACUCAGAAACUGCCAUGGAUACUAUUUGUCUUGAAUACUGUGGAGGUAAGCGGAAUAUGUCAUGUAGCGGUGAAAUGCUUAGAUAUGACAUGGAACACCAAUUGCGAAGGCAGCUUACUACACAAAUAUUGACGCUGAGGCACGAAAGCGUGGG